rnacentral:rRNA from 1 species
AGCGAACGCUGGCGGCAGGCCUAACACAUGCAAGUCGAACGGACCCUUCGGGGUUAGUGGCGGACGGGUGAGUAACACGUGGGAACGUGCCUUUAGGUUCGGAAUAGCUCCUGGAAACGGGUGGUAAUGCCGAAUGUGCCCUUCGGGGGAAAGAUUUAUCGCCUUUAGAGCGGCCCGCGUCUGAUUAGCUAGUUGGUGAGGUAAAGGCUCACCAAGGCGACGAUCAGUAGCUGGUCUGAGAGGAUGACCAGCCACAUUGGGACUGAGACACGGCCCAAACUCCUACGGGAGGCAGCAGUGGGGAAUCUUGCGCAAUGGGCGAAAGCCUGACGCAGCCAUGCCGCGUGAAUGAUGAAGGUCUUAGGAUUGUAAAAUUCUUUCACCGGGGACGAUAAUGACGGUACCCGGAGAAGAAGCCCCGGCUAACUUCGUGCCAGCAGCCGCGGUAA